UCUCCACACUUCUAAACAGUCUUCAUUCAUAUCUAGCACUUGUAAUCAAUCAAAUUUAUUGUAUUCUAACAUAUUCUAACCCCAAACAACACUAGACAAGCCAUUUAAUUCUUCAAAGCAAUGUUUGUGGGUUCAUAGCCCAUUUUAGACCAAAUUUCAGCAAGUCUGUCUACACACUUCUAAACACUCUUCAAGCAUCUCUAGCAUUUGUAAUCAAUCAAAUUCAUUGUAUUCUAACAUAUUCUAACCCCAAUCAACACUAGACAAGCCAUUUAGUGGUUUAACGCAAUAUUUCUGAGUUCUAAGCCCAUUUGGGACCAAAUUUCAACAAGUCUUUCUCCACACUUCUAAACAGUCUUCAUUCAUAUCUAGCACUCGUAAUCAAUUAAAUUUAUUGUAUUCUAACAUAUUCUAACCCCAAACAACACUAGACAAGCCAUUUAAUACUUCAAAGCAAUAUUUCUGGGUUCUAAGCCCAUUUGGG
rnacentral:lncRNA from 1 species